rnacentral:rRNA from 1 species
CCUACGGGAGGCUGCAGUGGGGAAUAUUGCACAAUGGGGGAAACCCUGAUGCAGCGACGCCGCGUGAGUGAAGAAGUAUUUCGGUACGUAAAGCUCUAUCAGCAGGGAAGAAAAUGACGGUACCUGACUAAGAAGCCCCGGCUAACUACGUGCCAGCAGCCGCGGUAAUACGUAGGGGGCAAGCGUUAUCCGGAUUUACUGGGUGUAAAGGGAGCGUAGACGGCAGCGCAAGUCUGGAGUGAAAUCCCAUGGCUUAACCAUGGAACUGCUUUGGAAACUGUGCAGCUAGAGUGCAGGAGAGGUAAGCGGAAUUCCUAGUGUAGCGGUGAAAUGCGUAGAUAUUAGGAGGAACACCAGGGGCGAAGGCGGCUUACUGUACUGUAACUGACGUUGAGGCUCGAAAGCGUGGGGAGCAAACAGGAUUAGAUACCCUUGUAGUC